UACGUAGGGAGCUAGCGUUGUCCGGAAUCAUUGGGCGUAAAGCGCGCGUAGGCGGCCCGGUAAGUCCGCUGUGAAAGUCAAAGGCUCAACCUUUGAAUGUCAGCGGAUACUGCCGGGCUAGAGUCCGGAAGAGGCGAGUGGAACUCCUGGUGUAGCGGUGAAUGCGCAGAUAUCAGGAGGAACACCAGUGGCGAAGGCGGCUCGCUGG
rnacentral:rRNA from 1 species